AAUGCGGCAGGGUCAAACUUUUAGAAAAUCAAUUGCGACUUUGUUGCAGAAAAGAAGUCACGGCAAAUCCCAAAAAGAAUAUAACAAAAUAGAGUAAUAAGACGGAGCCUCAGGUUUUCAACUCGGAUCAUCAUCUUGGAGUUAUCAGAGCUUCAAUUUCGCCGACGAUUGUGCUUCCGAUCGAACUCAAUCUUCGGACCGGUGACUAGGGUUUCUCCGCAGGUUAAUCUUCGAUUCCGCCGACUCGAACCUCGAACUGCCUUCUCAUACUGGUUGGACUCACUUCGCUCUGAUUUAGGACUAAUGCUCAUUUCAUUCGUUGACCAAAGACUUCGAAAUUAAUUCAUAAUUCAACCUCCAUUUUCUAGGGUUUCGUAUGAAGCCCCAACUUAGAAAUUUCAAUAGUCAUGGUUGCAAUCUUUGAAUCACCUUUAUUGUCUGGAUUGCUCUUACCACCAGUCGAUGGCAUCAAGUGCUCCACUUGAAGUUGGAGUCAAUGCUCCUCUACUUGGACAAACCUUUAAAUUUAAAAUGUAUGCAUUUUGGUAAUUAAAGUGAUAAGAGUCGAAAGCAUAGGUUUUUAGUGA